AUUUAUUAUAUAUUUAACCUGUGUAUAAUAUAGGAAAAGUGGCAGUAUCGAAACAGCCUAAUAUAAAUGACUGCAGCUGCGACGACGAAGACAUCGAUAAGAACACCUAAUAAAGUGCUAAAUCGUAUUGUUAUUAUAUUGUUCUGCCGUGUGUCAAUGUCAACGUAAAAAUAAAAAAAACAAAACAAAAACCAUUGAUAGACAAAACAAAAUUUUGUUUACCUAACAAUUUACGACGUUUUAAUAAUAGUUAUUCAAUUUGUCCGAAAUUGAAUUUUGUUUGUAACAGAACAUCUGCAGUAUGUAUUAAUAUGAGAAAAACAUCGAUUUAUCGUAAAUAAUAUUAUAAAUAAAAAUAAAAUCAUAUUACUAUCUAUAGCUUUUCUUGGAAAAAACAAGAAAUGUUUCUUCUUUUACUUUCCAGAUAGGUAUCGUAUAUUCCUAUCAGAUGUUGUCCGACCAAUAUAUUUGCUUGAUAGGAGAUAGAUAACCAAAAAUAAUAAGGGUAAAUAAUGGCAAUGAUAAACGUCAGAAAUGGUAAUUUCUGACGUUUAUUGUUUAUUCUUAAAGAAACAGAUUUAAAUUCAGCGUAUGUGUACAUGAGAUC